GACUCCAGAUGCAGAGUUUGGCCUGAGCAGCCUGAAGCUGCUGAACUAAGAAGAAGACCCCUGACUCUCCUCUGUUGUCUUUAACAGUCUGUCCUCCCUGACCAAACUAACAGUGCAUUACAAACAAUGGCUUAAAGAUCCAAGCUUCUGCUGCCUCACAAAAUGUUUGCAAGGGCUCCAUGUACUCUCAGAGCUCAACAUUUCUUUAGGAUACCCACUCAGAGUUUAUGCAGAAUCAAUACAGUGAAGGCAGAGUUGGAGUCUGUCAGGAUUGUGGUAGAGCAGGUGCCGGAUCUCCUUCAUCUCCAUUUGGACUUGUGUUGUUAUAUGACAUCUGUGAUGUAAUCACAGAAAUGCCCCAGGUUUUCCCAAAGCUGCAUAUCCUGAAAGUGAGACACCAUAAUGUUCCAGUGUUUCUCCAACUUCAGCAUCUGCCUCGACUCAAGCAGUUAAUGAUUUUGGAUGCACCCAAAGGCCCCAGUCCUGCUAUCCUCGAUCUGACUCAAAAACUUCACGUCCAAACAAACAAUAGAAUCCAUGUACUUCAUUUCGAUUUUAAGGACCGUACCACUUGUUCUUGUGGUUU